GUAAAGCCUCUUACCCGAGGAUAUGGACGCAGCUUCCCUGUGAAGAAGAAUCCUGGCCAAGGGAUAUAAGGUUUGACAUCUUUCUUUUGAAGAUCUUUUACUCUCUUGUGGACUUGUUUAUGCACUCCCCAGCUUCCUUUAAAACAUUCCUG